CCAGCGCUUUUAAGUUCAACCGAACGGGCUGUCAGCUCUCGUGCAACUGCAACUAUGUGGGAUGAGCCAUCAUAGAUCCAUCACCAGCCGCCACAUUUCUACACCUCGCCACCGGAGCAAGAGCAAGCGAAUGCCGAGGAGCCAGGCAAAUCUGCGGCGACCUUAGCUGCCGAUACGGGUCGGCGGCAGGAGAAUCUCCGAUGCCAACCUCCAUUCGCUGGUGGCUACCUGUGUGUGGAUGUGUGUGAUUCUUCAACCAAGCUGGCCAAGUGAGCUCCGUGGAAUGUCAAUGUAGAUGCAAAGAUUAUGAAGGCUUGACAGAAUGACAGAUUGACAGAUGCCGAGAAUGCCCCCCAUUUUUCUUUAGAAUCUUUGGCUUUUAGUGUUCUUUCUUUGUGGUCCGGUUUGGCAAUUGCUGUCUUGAUUUCUUAACUGCAACGUGAUUUACUUAAGUUUUUGUGAUUUCUUUUUUGGGUUGUAAAUCAAAUGGGGCUGUGAAGGGUUUUGUUAUUAGUUUAUUACACAUGCUAUCA